rnacentral:tRNA from 1 species
CGGAGUUUAGCGCAGUUGGUAGCGCGCUACGUUCGGGACGUAGAGGUCGGGCGUUCGAGUCGCCUAACUCCGAC